rnacentral:rRNA from 1 species
GAUGAACGCUGGCGGCGUGCCUAAUACAUGCAAGUCGAGCGAACAGACGAGGAGCUUGCUCCUCUGACGUUAGCGGCGGACGGGUGAGUAACACGUGGAUAACCUACCUAUAAGACUGGGAUAACUUCGGGAAACCGGAGCUAAUACCGGAUAAUAUAUUGAACCGCAUGGUUCAAUAGUUAAAGACGGUUUUGCUGUCACUUAUAGAUGGAUCCGCGCCGCAUUAACUAGUUGGUAAGGUAACGGCUUACCAAGGCGACGAUGGCUAGCCGACCUGAGAGGGUGAUCGGCCACACGGGAACUGAGACACGGUCCAGACUCCUACGGGAGGCAGCAGUAGGGAAUCUUCCGCAAUGGGCGAAAGCCUGACGGAGCAACGCCGCGUGAGUGAUGAAGGUCUUCGGAUCGUAAAACUCUGUUAUUAGGGAAGAACAAAUGUGUAAGUAACUAUGCACGUCUUGACGGUACCUAAUCAGAAAGCCACGGCUAACUACGUG